CUGCGCCCUCGGUCGAAGAGGACGACCUUCCCCGAAUAGAGGAGGACCGGUCUUCGGUCAAGGGUAUACGAGUAGCUGUGCUCCCCUGCUAGAACCUCCAAACAAGCUCUCAAGGUCUAGUCAUAAAUUUUUAAAGAAAUAACGUCAGUGAAUAUUUGCUAUUGAGAAUAUUGGGGCUAAGUUUGUGACCAGUAUAUUCAUGUGCAU
rfam:Cricetulus griseus cell line CHO-K1, whole genome shotgun sequence.